rnacentral:rRNA from 1 species
AACCAGCACCUCAAUCGGUCAGGAGGAUUAUUGGGCCUAAAGCAUCCGUAGCCGGCUCUGCAAGUUUUCUGUUAAAUCCACUUGCUUAACAAAUGGGCUGCCGAAAAUACUACAUAGCUAGGGAGUGGGAGAGGUAGACGGUAUUCGGUAGGAAGGGGUAAAAUCCUUUGAUCUAUUGAGGACCACCUAUGGCGAAGGCAGUCUACCAGAACACGUUCGACGGUGAGGGAUGAAAGCUGGGGGAGAAAACCGG